GCUAUUAUAGGUAUGAUGCCUGUUUCUAUGCAUGCAGAACUUGUUGAGCGACACAGCGCAUUCGUCAGUGUCGGAGAAAGUGGAAACUUAGGCGAACGCUGAAGCAAAGGUUGAAGAUAUGCGUUCAUACAUUGUCUUCUGUUUCAUAUUCAUGACAUGUGGUGGAGUAAUCUUCGGGAAUGCAUCAAAUAAUAAUUCUAAUAAGUCGGCUCAGGGAGGAAGCAUCACGAACACUAUCCUCGUGCAUCGCCCAGAACAUCACAACAGCAGCGGCAGUAGUAAUGAGACUGGACACGCAGAUUUUGAGAUGAAGGUAGGCAAGCUUGCAAAGCUGUUGCGAAAUAGGAAUGAAGAAUGAAACUGGAUGAGAUAGGCACGAAGUAGUAAAGUCUUUGACACAGUAAGUCAGCAAUGUAUUGUUGCCUUGGUCACCCUGGGCUCAAAAGUAUGCUGCUAGAUUGCCUGUAAUAAACCAUAUUAUAUUGCUGCUAGCA